rnacentral:SRP_RNA from 1 species
GCCAGGCGUGGUGGCUGGCGCCUGUAAUCCCAGCUACUCAGGAGGCUGAGGCAGGAGAAUCGCUUGAACCCAGGAGGCAGAGGUUGCAGUGAGCUGAGAUAGUGCCACUGCACUCCAGCCUGGGUGACAGAGCAAGAUUCUGCCUCAA